rnacentral:lncRNA from 1 species
UGUCUUUCAAAACAUAGCAGCAUCAAUCGAUGUCAAGAGCUUUUCUUUGCUUUUGUCCUCUGGACAAAACUCCAUUCUUUUUAUGAGACCCAGAGGUCUCCCCUCAAUUUCUGGCAUUUGAUUGUACUUGGAAGAGAUUGUAAUCUCAAUUGGAGGGUCCGGAUUUUUCCUUCUGCAGAGUGGCUGCUUAGGAUUUGAUGGACGAUGGGCUCGAGACAGAAAAGGGCUGGUAAUCUUCUUCCCCUUCCACUCCCGGUUUCUCCCAGUUUUCCCUCUUGUUCUUCUUCAUCUUCCUCCCUCCCUCGAGUAGUUAGGGCUAAUUUUUUCUGUUUUCCUAUCAUUUUCCUGAUAUUUCUAUUUCAUUGGCUAAAAGCAGCAAAUCUUUUUUUUUUCUCUCAUCUCUGUCGUGUCCUUUUGUGAAACAGUAAGGACAGGGAAGGUCAAUAUUUCAUCUCCACUAUCUGAUGUGAAUUUCUAGAAUGCAGAUAUAUGGUACUUUUCUUCCCCUUUCUUUCCAUGAUUAAUGUCUCUGUUUCAUUUCUGUUUUAUCAUUGAUUUUUAAUUUUUAAUCAGAAGAAAAACUUUUAAUAUGGUCUGAGAUGAUGAAUAAUUGAUGAUUAGCUAGCUUUUAGAUAUUUAUUUACUUUCUUUUUUGUAUCUAUUUGGUGAUUUAUUGUUCCAUUUUUCGUUUUUGUCUUGGAUUUCUUCUGGAGUUCGGAGGAAAAAUGGCCACUUGUGAAAAACAACUGGUGAGUGAAAAUGUAAGUUUGCUGCAUCAAUCUGAUUUAAUUUUUCCCUCUUCCACGCCUGGUUUAGGAUUUGAUGGAUGAUUUUUUUUCCAUUUUUUUUGUUCUUUUGGUGCUACUUUUCCAAGUAUAUUAUUGGUUGUUGUUACAGGAAGGAAUAUGAAAACUUGAAGUUGACAUCUCUAAGAAGUAGUUAAAGCUGGUAAUAUUUAUUUGUGUUCUACUAUUUAUACUAUAAACCAUAGUCUUUUUCUGUAAAUGGUUUCUCUCACCUAAUUUAGCCUAUUUUUGUUUAUUGAGGUUGUUGUCAGAGAAAGGAUAAAGGUAAAAGUGAUUGGAAGAAUGAGCAAAUUUCUUCCGGUGUUUUGUGUUUUGGGUUUUAUUGUGUUUGUCAAAGUAAAUUAGAUACAGUAUCUUUUUCUUCUGUAUCUUCUUUUUUUCCCUUGGCUGGCAAACAUAAUGAAUCUGUUAUAUAAACUACUUGGUAUUCUUCGUAAUGUCAAGAUUUGGGAAGCUGUAUGAUGAAAUCUUUAUUUCAUAGUCGAUUUUUCUGGUUUUGUGGUUUUAACGUGCAAAGUGAAAUCAUUAUUAUGACUAACUUCCUUGAGGAUGUUUUGAUCAGUUCAUGAUUCAUGAGAUACAUAGUUAUAUGGAUUACAUAAAUGGAGUUUCAAAAGCAAAAUCCAUUUAAUCUACUAUGAAGAUACCAUCUUUCCUCUUUUAAAUUACUAAAAAAACUUGGCUCGAUCUUUGACUGGAAAAAUUAUGUUCAGAAAAUAGUAUUCCUGUGCGUCACACAAUUGACAUUUGAUGUUGGACCCAAUAUUGCAUUUAAAAAAAAAAAAGAAAAAUUGGAAAAUAAUGCAUAGGAACUUCUCUAGAAUUUGCUUCCAUAUAUAUGUACAAUGUUUUGUUCCCUUUGGGGAAAUUUCAUCAGUGACAUUAUUUUUAUUGAUUGAUUUCUGUUGGUAAGACCAGCUUUUAUACUCUCUCAAUAGAUUUCUUCUCUUGUUUCUGUUAUCGCCAUUUUUUUUUGUGGAUUCUUCUUUCUUCUAAGCAACUUUAAAGGUUCUUUUCUUUAUAUGAAUAUGUUAUUAUUGGGGUACAUCUAAUCCUAAUCCUACUUCUGUAGCAGGAAAUGACCAUACAUUGGGUUUUGUUACUGGUGGGUCUGCUCAUGUUCAAAUGCAACUUAGCACCAAAGAGUGUGAGAGUCUGGGAUUAACUGGUCUGGCUCUCUGCUUAGACUGCAACACCUUUGCUGAGUAUGUCAAGGACCAAGGUUGUACCUUUAUUAUAUGAAUUUUGUUGAUCCUCAGAUAUUUAUGGUUUUUGGUGGAUUUUACUUCUGGGUUUUGAUGGGUUUUUUGAAUUGAUUACUUGCUGGUAAGUACAUGGGUUGUAAAAUGGUAAUAUUUGGGAUUCUUGUUUCUGUACUAUAGCUGAUUGGUUGUCAAAAUUAACGAAUAGUGGGAGAUAGAUGCAAUUCUUAUUGCUUUUAGUUGAUUUAAGGUCUGGGUUUUUUUUUGUUUGGAUUUAUGAAUUGCUUAUUUAUAUGUGAGAUGUCAAUGGUGAUAAUUUGGAAGGAGAACUUGAAAAAGGCUAUGUUUUUAUACAAAUCAGAUCGAGAGACUAUGCUUAUAACAGUAAAUAAGUGUAUUUUGACUUUUGUUGUUUUCACUAUAAUUUUUUGUGAUUAAGUUUUGUCAAAAUAUGGAUGGGUAAAUAGUAUUUUGGAAGAUUUCUCUUUUUUCUUUUUGUACCUCAGAUAGCUUAAGGAUAAUUGCAGAAAUCGAAAUAAGAUCCUCAUUGGGAUUCUUAAAUUAUCUCAUGCAAUUAGUGGCGUUAAAUUGUAAUCUGUAGAAUUCCAAGUAACUAGCCUGGAUUAUGGUGAUGGUUCAGUUUUGUUGCUCUUGAGGAUGUUUUGCACCUGAGCUGACGAUGAUCAAGGCAUGCAAGAACAAUAGUUCUACGAUCAUGAUUUCCUAAGUUACGACUUGUAGUUCAUUAUAUUUGAUGAUUAGGACCAUACGCAUUAAAUUGGAAUAUUCUAUUGGCAUCCUUUAUUGUACCAAAUGAAGUACUAUCAAGACAAAUUCUGAAUGGAAAUAUGCCAUUUUUUGAAACCUAUACCAGAGAACCCUUAUUCUUC